AUAUUGAAACACCAGUUCCUGUAUGAUCACCAAAGUUAAGCAAUGUCAAGCCUGGUUAGUACUUUAGUGGGUGACAGCUUAGGAAUACCAGGUACUGUAAG